rnacentral:rRNA from 1 species
AUCAUUACACAAUAACAAGGCGGGCUGGACACCCCCCGCUGGGCACUGCUUCACGGCGUGCGCGGCGGGGCCGGCCCUGCUGAAUUAUUCACCCGUGUCUUUUGCGUACUUCUUGUUUCCUGGGUGGGCUCGCCCGCCCUCAGGACCAACCACAAACCUUUUGCAAUAGCAAUCAGCGUCAGUAACAACGUAAUUAAUUACAACUUUCAACAACGGAUCUCUUGGUUCUGGCAUCGAUGAAGAACGCAGCGAAAUGCGAUACGUAGUGUGAAUUGCAGAAUUCAGUGAAUCAUCGAAUCUUUGAACGCACAUUGCGUCCUUUGGUAUUCCAAAGGGCAUGCCUGUUCGAGCGUCAUUUGUACCCUCAAGCUUUGCUUGGUGUUGGGCGUCUUUUGUCUCCAGUUCGCUGGAGACUCGCCUUAAAGUCAUUGGCAGCCGGCCUACUGGUUUCGGAGCGCAGCACAAGUCGCGCUCUUCGCCAGCCAAAGUCAGCGUCCAGCAAGCCUUUUUUUCAACCUUUGA